rnacentral:rRNA from 1 species
ACGAACGCUGGGCGCGUGCCUAACACAUGCAAGUCAACUUGACUGAAGGAGCAAUCUGACAGUAGAGUGCGCAAGGGUGACGUAACGCGUAAGUAACUUGCCCCAAGGUAAGGAAUAACGUCGAGAAAUCGGCGCUAAUACCUCAUAAUGCAGCGGAUCCGCAUGGAUAUGUUGUAAGGUUUACCGCCUUGGGAUAGGCUUGCGUCUGAUUAGCUAGUUGGUGUGGUAACGGCACACCAAGGCUACGAUCAGUAACUGGUCUGAGAGGAUGAUCAGUCACACUGGAACUGAGACACGGUCCAGACUCCUACGGGAGGCAGCAGUGAGGAAUAUUGGGCAAUGCUCGAAAGAGUGACCCAGCAACGCCGCGUGGAGGAUGAAGGUAUUCUAUAUCGUAAACUCCUGUGAGAGCAGACGAAAGACAGAUUAUUAAUCUGGAUGACUGUAUGCUCAGAGGAAGCCCCGGCUAACUACGUG